rnacentral:rRNA from 1 species
CCUUCCGGGAGCCGCAAUCGGGAAUAUUUGGCAAUUGGGGAAGAUCUGAACGCACCACCCGGCGUGGAGGAGGAAGGCUUUCGGGUUCAAAAAUUCCUCAGGGGGGAGGAAGAUAUGACGUAUCCANNGAAGANCNACCGCNNG